GGGUGAGUAGCUCAAUUGGUUAGAGCAGGUCCCUCUUAAGGACAAGGUUCAGGGUUCGAUUCCCUGCUCGCCUA
rnacentral:tRNA from 2 species